rnacentral:piRNA from 1 species
AAGAAAGAAAAUGCUGAGGAGA